UACAGAGGGUGCGAGCGUUGUCCGGAAUCACUGGGCGUAAAGCGCGCGUAGGCGGCUUGGCAAGUCGGAUGUGAAAUCCCUCGGCUCAACCAAGGAAGUGCAUCCGAAACUGCUGAGCUUGAGUACUUAAGAGGAUCGCGGAAUUCCCGGUGUAGAGGUGAAAUUCGUAGAUAUCGGGAGGAACACCAGUGGCGAAGGCGGCGAUCUGGGAAGAUACUGACGCUGAGGUGCGAAAGCGUGGGGAGCAAACAGG
rnacentral:rRNA from 1 species